rnacentral:rRNA from 1 species
AGAUUGAACGCUGGCGGCAGGCCUAACACAUGCAAGUCGAGCGGCAGCGGGAAGUAGCUUGCUACUUUGCCGGCGAGCGGCGGACGGGUGAGUAAUGUCUGGGAAACUGCCUGAUGGAGGGGGAUAACUACUGGAAACGGUAGCUAAUACCGCAUGACCUCGCAAGAGCAAAGUGGGGGACCUUCGGGCCUCACGCCAUCGGAUGUGCCCAGAUGGGAUUAGCUAGUAGGUGAGGUAAUGGCUCACCUAGGCGACGAUCCCUAGCUGGUCUGAGAGGAUGACCAGCCACACUGGAACUGAGACACGGUCCAGACUCCUACGGGAGGCAGCAGUGGGGAAUAUUGCACAAUGGGCGCAAGCCUGAUGCAGCCAUGCCGCGUGUGUGAAGAAGGCCUUAGGGUUGUAAAGCACUUUCAGCGAGGAGGAAGGGUUCAGUGUUAAUAGCACUGUACAUUGACGUUACUCGCAGAAGAAGCACCGG